AAGAAGUGGUGCUGUGAAGAGAACAAUAGUCAGACUGAAUGUUGAACAUCAGCUGCUUCCUCCUGCUGAUUUAAACCUUGGUGGACAGAUGGAACAUUGGCUGUGGAUUAUUCUGGCUGCUCUUUUCUCUGAGUGUAAAGGAGACUCAGUGAAGCAGACAGAAGGAGAAGUUGUUGCUGCUGCAGGAGAAUCACUGACUCUGAGAUGUACUUAUGAGAUCAGCUAUGGAACUGGGACCUUAUUCUGGUACAAGCAAGAAGAAACCAGUUCUCCAAAGUACAUGUUGAAACGUGUGUCAUCAGAUGGAGACAAUGCUCCUGAGUUUAGCAAAGACAGAUUUGAUGCAAAAGUCACUAACUCAGACUUUGACCUGAAGAUCCAGGAUCUCCGUCUGUCAGACUCUGCUGUGUACUACUGCGCUCUGCAGCCCACAGUGACAGGAAACACCAGAACCCUGUACAAAAACCUGCAGUACUCCACAGCAGCCACUAGAGGGCCUCACUCCCUGUUAAUCCACUAAAACCUGCAGUACUCCACAGCAGCCACUAGAGGGAUGUUUGAAAGUACAUUAGAGCAUUUAAAAACAUACAUGUUGGUUUUGGCAGGAAUUCGUCUUUAU